UACGGAGGGUGCAAGCGUUGUCCGGAUUUAUUGGGUUUAAAGGGUGCGUAGGCGGCCCGUUAAGUCAGCGGUGAAAUCCCAGGGCUCAACCCUGGAACUGCCGUUGAUACUGGCGGGCUUGAGUUCGGUCGAGGCGGGCGGAACUGGUGGUGUAGCGGUGAAAUGCUUAGAUACCGCCAAGAACCCCGAUUGCGUAGGCAGCUCGCUGUGCCGAAACUGACGCUGAGGCACGAAAGCGUGGGGAGCGAACAGG
rnacentral:rRNA from 1 species